AGAUGUGAAAUCCCCGGGCUCAACCUGGGAACUGCAUCUGAUACUGGCAAGCUUGAGUCUCGUAGAGGGGGGUAGAAUUCCAGGUGUAGCGGUGAAAUGCGUAGAGAUCUGGAGGAAUACCGGUGGCGAAGGCGGCCCCCUGGACGAAGACUGACGCUCAGGUGCGAAAGCGUGGGGAGCAAACAGGAUUAGAUACCCUGGUAGUCCACGCCGUAAACGAUGUCGACUUGGAGGUUGUGCCCUUGAGGCGUGGCUUCCGGAGCUAACGCGUUAAGUCGACCGCCUGGGGAGUACGGCCGCAAGGUUAAAACUCAAAUGAAUUGACGGGGGCCCGCACAAGCGGUGGAGCAUGUGGUUUAAUUCGAUGCAACGCGAAGAACCUUACCUGGUCUUGACAUCCACGGAAGUUUUCAGAGAUGAGAAUGUGCCUUCGGGAACCGUGAGACAGGUGCUGCAUGGCUGUCGUCAGCUCGUGUUGUGAAAUGUUGGGUUAAGUCCCGCAACGAGCGCAACCCUUAUCCUUUGUUGCCAGCGGUCCGGC
rnacentral:rRNA from 1 species